UGGGGAAUUUUGCGCAAUGGGGGAAACCCUGACGCAGCAACGCCGCGUGAGUGAUGAAGGCUUUCGGGUCGUAAAGCUCUGUCAGAGGGGAAGAAAUGGAACUGGCUAAUAUCCAGUUUUCUUGACGGUACCCUCAAAGGAAGCACCGGCUAACUCCGUGCCAGCAGCCGCGGUAAUACGGAGGGUGCAAGCGUUGUUCGGAUUUAUUGGGCGUAAAGCGCGUGUAGGCGGUUUCUUAAGUCUGAUGUGAAAGCCCUGGGCUCAACCCAGGAAGUGCAUUGGAUACUGGGAGACUUGAAUACGGGAGAGGGUAGUGGAAUUCCUAGUGUAGGAGUGAAAUCCGUAGAUAUUAGGAGGAACACCGGUGGCGAAGGCGGCUACCUGGACCGAUAUUGACGCUGAGACGCGAAAGCGUGGGGAGCAAACAGG
rnacentral:rRNA from 1 species